rnacentral:rRNA from 1 species
UACGUAGGUCACGAACGUUAUUCGGAAUCACUGGGCUUAAAGGGCGCGUAGGCGGCUUGAUAAGUCAUGGUUGAAAUCCAACGGCUCACCCGUUGAACUGGCCAUGAUACUGUCGAGCUGGAGUUGCGGAGGGAUGCGUGGAACUUGUGGUGGAGCGGUGAAAUGCCCAGAUAUCACAGGGAACACCGGUGGCGAAGGCGACGCAUUGGCCGCAUACUGACGCUGAGGCGCGAAAGCCAGGGGAGCAAACGGG